rnacentral:lncRNA from 1 species
UAUAAACAAAAGACAUUCUUCUCAGAGAUGGCCUUAUUAAUCAGUUUAUUAUUCAAUGGGUCAGAAUUUGCAUUUUGGUGAGUAGUAUCGUUUUUUUCUCUUCAUGUUGCCGAAGUUGUAGUCACAUUACAAGAGAGCUCUAAAUUAACAGCACAGAUAUGCAGUUUCUUCAAGAGUAGUUAACUUUAUUUCAAAUGAAUUCUGCUUCCUCUGCCUGGCAUUUCUUUACCCGUUAUCUCCAAAUGUCCAAAUUCAACCUAUCACUUAAGACCUAUUUCAAAUGCUGUCUGCCCAUCACCUCCUUUGAAGCUUCUCUUCCCUCUUUCAACUGCCAUAGGGACAAUUUUUUCUAUAUCUCUCCUACAGAACAUAUCACUUUCUACCAUGCGUGCUGUUACUUAGUUGUGUGACUUACGUUGUCUACCAAAGUGAAAGCUUCUGAAGAUACCAUCACAGAGACCAGUACAGGGCCUCGCCCAACAUGGUCUCAGUAAAUAUCUCAAGAAUAAAUAAAGAGUGGGAAGAUGACACAGUAUGGAAAAUGUUAUCUGUAGAAGGAACAAAAGUCAAACAUAUGAUGUGUCAACGAAUGACUUUCACUUUGAUUUUGAAAACACCACCAAGAGUUUGGAAUGGAAAGUGUGGAGGUGCUAUUUUGGAACAAAUGGAAGAAAUAGAAGAAGAAAGGCAACAGAUAUGCAUGGAAACUUAA